AACGAACGCUGGCGGCAGGCCUAACACAUGCAAGUCGAACGCCCCGCAAGGGGAGUGGCAGACGGGUGAGUAACGCGUGGGAACGUACCCUUCGGUUCGGGAUAACUCAGGGAAACUUGAGCUAAUACCGGAUACGUCCGAGAGGAGAAAGAUUUAUCGCCGAGGGAUCGGCCCGCGUCUGAUUAGCUUGUUGGUGAGGUAACGGCUCACCAAGGCGACGAUCAGUAGCUGGUCUGAGAGGAUGAUCAGCCACAUUGGGACUGAGACACGGCCCAAACUCCUACGGGAGGCAGCAGUGGGGAAUAUUGGACAAUGGGCGCAAGCCUGAUCCAGCCAUGCCGCGUGAGUGAUGAAGGCCCUAGGGUUGUAAAGCUCUUUUACCCGGGAAGAUAAUGACUGUACCGGGAGAAUAAGCCCCGGCUAACUUCGUGCCAGCCGCCGCGGU
rnacentral:rRNA from 1 species